CAGUAGCCGCGGGAAUACGAAGGGGGCUAGCGUUGCUCGGAAUGACUGGGCGUAAAGGGCGCGUAGGCGGCGAUCAAAGUCAGGCGUGAAAUUCCUGGGCUCAACCUGGGGGCUGCGUUUGAUACUUGAUUGCUAGAGUGGGGAAGAGGGUCGUGGAAUUCCCAGUGUAGAGGUGAAAUUCGUAGAUAUUGGGAAGAACACCGGUGGCGAAGGCGGCGACCUGGUCCUUGACUGACGCUGAGGCGCGAAAGCGUGGGGAGCAAGCAGGAUUAGAUACCCCUGUAGUCCCUGUCUCUUAUAC
rnacentral:rRNA from 1 species